CACUUCCUUGGAGACCCAGUUCCUAUAGUAACGGUAAACAGACUCCUGGAGUACCUCACGCAUAACUUCCUCUCCAAUUUGGUCAUCAUGGAUACAGUACACAGGCCCCGUGGAACUAAACGAAGGUCGUAACAUAAGUAACAACAUGUCGUCGGCAAACAAUGAGAGACGGAGAUCAAUCCCACCCUAAUUCCAUGAUACACGGGAGAUUGUCUAAUUGAUACGGCUAAUAAUUCCAAAGCCAAUGCGAACAGGAGUGGGGAAAGAGGACACCCCUGUCAAGUACCUCGUUGGAUAAGGAAGGGUGGAGAUAAAAAACCAUUACAAAGGAUUCUCGAGUCAGGGUUGUUAUAUAAGAUCCGCAGAUAAUCAAUAAAACGAGGAGGGAAACCAAACCUAGACAUUGUGUCAAAUGAAUGAUCCCAGUGCACCAUAUCAAAUGCUUUUUCCGCAUCUAAGGAUCUGGCACACUGGGACGUAGUGAUUGCUGACAAAACCUUCCUAAUAUUCACCACUGAGGAACGGCCCGUAAUAAAGCCCGUUUGAUAAAAAUGAAUGAUAGAAGGAAGAUCUAUUUUCUGGAUGAAAUUCUGUUGACUAUUCUAGUGAAUGUUGAUGUUACAGACAAGAUGACAUGGAGACAGGUUUCCCAAAUACACCCCACCAGCUAAAACAGGU